UGCGUAGGUGGUUCCAUAAGUCAGUGGUGAAAUACGGCAGCUUAACUGUCGAGGUGCCAUUGAUACUGCGGAACUUGAGUACAGACGAGGUAGGCGGAAUUGACGGUGUAGCGGUGAAAUGCUUAGAUAUCGUCAAGAACACCGAUAGCGAAGGCAGCUUACUAGACUGUAACUGACACUGAGGCACGAAAGUGUGGGGAUCAAACAGGAUUAGAUACCCUGGUAGUCCACACUGUAAACGAUGAUUACUCGAUGUUGGCGAUACACAGCCAGCGUCUUAGCGAAAGCGAUAAGUAAUCCACCUGGGGAGUACGCCCGCAAGGGUGAA
rnacentral:rRNA from 1 species